GCCGUACCGGUGUGCUCCAGUUCUGUGCGACGUCGGUGGAGGAAGCCGGUGCGAGUCCGGCGCGGUCCCGCCACUGUGACCGGGGGAGCCCCCGAGAGCCAGACACUCCCUGUCGUCGCUGACCCCUG
rnacentral:ncRNA from 2 species